rnacentral:rRNA from 1 species
CCCCUAGAUGUUCUGGGCCGCACGCGCGCUACACUGAACAGUUCAACAAGUCUUAACCUUGGCCGAUAGGUCUGGGUAAUCUUUGAACGCUGUUCGUGAUUGGGAUAGACCUUUGCAAUUAUGGGUCUUCAACGAGGAAUUCCUAGUAAACGCAAGUCAUCAGCUUGCAUUGAUUACGUCCCUGCCCUUUGUACACACCGCCCGUCGCAUCUACCGAUUGAAUGGAGAGGCAAAAUCUUCGGACCGUGACGCGUUGGGGUCAAACCUGACGGAGUCGUGGGAAGUGGAUUAAACCUUUCUAUUUAGAGGAAGGUAAANUCGUAACA